rnacentral:rRNA from 1 species
UGGGGAAUAUUGGACAAUGGAGGGAACUCUGAUCCAGCAAUUCUGUGUGUGUGAAGAAGGUUUUAGGACUGUAAAACACUUUUAGUAGGGAAGAAAAAAAUGACGGUACCUACAGAAGAAGCAACGGCUAAAUACGUGCCAGCAGCCGCGGUAAUACGUAUGUUGCGAGCGUUAUCCGGAAUUAUUGGGCUUAAAGGGCAUCUAGGCGGUAAGACAAGUUGAAGGUGAAAACCUGUGGCUCAACCAUAGGCUUGCCUACAAAACUGUUGAACUAGAGUACUGGAAAGGUGGGUGGAACUACACGAGUAGAGGUGAAAUUCGUAGAUAUAUGGAGGAAUGCCGAUGAUGAAGAUAACUCACUGGACAGAAACUGACGCUGAAGUGCGAAAGCUAGGGGAGCAAACAGG